GUAGUCAUAUGCUUGUCUCAAAGAUUAAGCCAUGCAUGUCUAAGUAUAAGCAAUUUGUACGGUGAAACUGCGAAUGGCUCAUUAAAUCAGUUAUAGUUUAUUUGAUAGUACCUUACUACAUGGAUACCUGUGGUAAUUCUAGAGCUAAUACAUGCUUAAAACCCCGACUUCGGAAGGGGUGUAUUUAUUAGAUAAAAAACCAAUGCCCUUCGGGGCUCCUUGGUGAAUCAUAAUAACUUAUCGAAUCGCAUGGCCUUGCGCUGGCGAUGGUUCAUUCAAAUUUCUGCCCUAUCAACUUUCGAUGGUAGGAUAGUGGCCUACCAUGGUGGCAACGGGUAACGGGGAAU
rnacentral:rRNA from 1 species